rnacentral:rRNA from 1 species
CUUUUACAAUGAAGAGUUUGAUCCUGGCUCAGGAUGAACGCUAGCUACAGGCUUAACACAUGCAAGUCGAGGGGCAUCAGGAAGAAAGC